UACAGAGGUCCCGAGCGUUGUUCGGAUUCACUGGGCGUAAAGGGUGCGUAGGCGGUCGGGUAAGUCUGAUGUGAAAUCUCACAGCUUAACUGUGAAACUGCAUUGGAUACUAUUCGGCUUGAGGUCUGGAGGGGGGACUGGAUUCUCGGUGUAGCAGUGAAAUGCGUAGAUAUCAGGAGGAACACCUGUGGUGUAGACAGCUUACUGGACCAUUUCUGACGCUGAGACACGAAAGCGUGGGUAGCAAACAGG
rnacentral:rRNA from 1 species